rnacentral:rRNA from 1 species
UACGGAGGGUGCAAGCGUUAUCCGGAUUCACUGGGUUUAAAGGGUGCGUAGGUGGGUUGGUAAGUCAGUGGUGAAAUCUCCGAGCUUAACUUGGAAACUGCCAUUGAUACUAUCAGUCUUGAAUAUUGUGGAGGUUAGCGGAAUAUGUCAUGUAGCGGUGAAAUGCUUAGAUAUGACAUAGAACACCAAUUGCGAAGGCAGCUGGCUACGCAUAUAUUGACACUGAGGCACGAAAGCGUGGGGAUCAAACAGGAUUAGAAACCCCCGUAGUCC